UACGUAGGGGGGCAAGCGUUGUCCGGAAUCAUUGGGCGUAAAGAGCGUGUAGGCGGCCCGAUAAGUCCGCUGUGAAAGUCCAGGGCUCAACCCUGGGAUGCCGGUGGAUACUGUCGGGCUCGAGUCCGGAAGAGGAGUGUGGAAUUCCUGGUGUAGCGGUGAAAUGCGCAGAUAUCAGGAGGAACACCGGUGGCGAAGGCGGGUCUCUGGGCCGAAAUUGACGCUGAGGAGCGAAAGCGUGGGGAGCAAACAGG
rnacentral:rRNA from 1 species